GGCAAUCUCAAUCACUGUUCCUAAGGUAAGUUUACAUUGCUCCCCCGAGUGGCUGUUCCUUCAGAUGGGCUCGCUCACUUUGUCUCCUGCAUUUUUCCUUCUUGUUGUUUUUUCUUCUCAUUUCUACCCCUCUGAGCUAUCUCUAGAGUUAUGCGUAUAACUUCCGGGUUCGUUGUCUUAAUAUGUCUGGUCCACCUGCCUCAGAUUCAUCACCCGUCAUUGUUGUGACGCUUGGACUGUCACUUGGUUACCCCUCAUGUGGGUCCUGUUUGCACUUCCUCACCUUCAACAGGACUGAGUAUCAGAGGAGAUGAAAAUAGGUACUGUCCAUGAGCUGCGAAGCAUCGUUCCCAUGAAGAUGCUGGGGAAUAAGCUUCCACCCUUCCCGACUUGAGGCAUCCAUUUACCCCCUUUGGUUUUCAGCCACCACUGACUGUCUAGCUUACUCUUGCCAUCACUCAAGGCUGAACGCAUACGGAGCAUUGACGAGGCACCCGUCCUUCCUUUUUCUAAAAUGUUACCCGUACUUCAUGAAGUCGUCCUCAUAACAUCAUACUAAAAGUCAGCCUUCUAGAAUACCAUUUCCACCUCGUAGAACAGGGCAUCGAGGCCCUUAGGGAUCUACAACCCUUUCCCCAGGUUCAUGAUUCUUCUGAAUGUGUUUGAACCAGACCAUCAGGCACGAUCACUCUUCCUUUGCUGUGUUUCUAGAAGGUCUCAGUUAAACAAAGGUGGUUGUUCAAAAAUCCUGUCUGUUGGUUGUUUUAAACUGCAUGAUCCUUCUAAGUCUGACCUUGAUCCAGGCAGCACUCCUGGGCAGCUGGUGAGCCAGGGGACCAAAAGAUUAAAUGGAAUAAAUGAGUACAAAUUUCCCUACGGUCUUCUGACAGCAAGAUGUCAGCAGUCCUCCCUGUUGUGAUAGAUUGCAUAGGAUGCUGCUUCCGGAUCCAAAGGAACAAUCGACAGACGUCACAAAGAUCCACCUCUGGCUGCAUCAGAAAAUUAUGCUCCUGGCGCCACCAGCGAGUGCACCCCGCUAAUGGGUCGGGGACAGAAGAAACCCCGGGCUCCCAUGAAAGGCUGCCCAGCACCGCAGGAGGAAUAGAGGCUCCAAGUGGCUGCACAAUGCCGGCCGAUGACGCAACUAAUAAUAAUGGCAUGGCUUUGGAGCGCCCCACUCCAGUGACAAACAAUCGGGGUGAAGAAGAAGAAGGUGGGUCUUCCUUGCGGGCAUUGGUUGGAGAGCAGCCAGAUCCUGGGUUCCUUUUGGAAAGGGGGUAGUCUGGGAUGUGGAGCAGGCAGCUCUUUCCCAGUCAUAGUGAUGCCCUGGUGGCACCUGCCCUGGACACAAGUCUCUUGUGUUGAUUCCUUGGGUUGUGACACAUUCCGAGGGACAGGGAGUGAGGUCCAUGUGUGAGCACAUGUGGUGUAAGUAUCUGUUUCCUCAUGAGCUCUCUCCUAUUUAUACAGAAAAUACACCGCUCAACGUUCCUUAAGAAACAUCCCAUCACCUCUGCGUACCACCCCUAUAGGCAUGCAUUCGCCCCUCACCACUGCUGUCCCCACGUUGGCUUAAUUUUCCCGUUGCUCAGGUGGAGAUGGUGCAGAGAGAGUUGGCCCAAGCUCUUGACCUCCUACAUGGGAAAGCCAAAGUGGGACCCAGGCUGGGUUCCCUAUGGGGACGCUCUGGACCCCUGACCUGCACCUCUCCCUCAGCCAGGACUUGGUCGUUCGUGGGGAGCACGGAGCGGGGAGGGUCCCUGCUCCGUGUCUAUGCCCGGGAAUUCCAGGGUCUCCAGAGGGCCUGUCGAUGCUGUGCAUUUUAAAAGGUCCCUGUCAGUGCUGCGGUCAUUGCUUCAACAUGGCCAAAGCAGAUGGGAAUCGGCGAGGCGUAUGCUUGUAUUGGACAGUGUCACUGUCAUUCUCACACUUGACCACCCUAGGUAGCACACACCCAGGCGACCUUGCAAGUAAGAGCUCACAGUUCACCCUCAUCCUUAGCCUGGUGUGCGGCACCAUUGUACAAACUCGCUGCCCAUCUGGGUGAGAAGGACUCCGUGCUCCCUCUGUGUUUCUCUCCAUGAAGUAAGUCCCUCUUGUUGUAAGGCUCUUGGGAGGGCAGACAUCCUUUUUGCUCAAGGCCCAUGCACCAAAUGAAGCCUGCAGAAAAACUGUCAUGUGAUGGAUAGUGGUUGGAUUUCAGUAUUGUCAUGUUCUAUUUUUGGUUUUUAAGAUCAACGUUUUGGGUUUAAGAUCCCUUCAUUAGCAUACUUUUCCUAGA
ensembl:lncRNA